UGAGUCCAGGAUCUGCCACUAACUUG
rnacentral:piRNA from 1 species